UUGGAACAGUUUCAAGGCUUCUGAGUCCUCUUGAGUAGUUUUGACUUGGUUAUAUCAAGCAAUGUGCCUGUUAUGUCUUUUUUGAAGUAUGAUUUCUACA